UACGGAAGGGGCAAGCGUUGUUCGGAAUCAUUGGGCGUAAAGGGCGCGUAGGUGGUCGUGUAUGUCUACCGUGAAAGCGUACAGCUCAACUGUAUUUUGUCGGUAGAAACUGCAGGACUUGAGGCUGGGAGGGGCUGGUGGAAUUCCCUGUGUAGCGGUGAAAUGCGUAGAGAUGGGGGAGAACACUCGUGGCGAAGGCGGCCAGCUAGACCAGUUCUGACACUGAGGCGCGACAGCGUGGGGAGCAAACAGG
rnacentral:rRNA from 1 species